rnacentral:rRNA from 1 species
UACGUAGGGUGCAAGCGUUGUCCGGAAUUAUUGGGCGUAAAGAGCUCGUAGGCGGCUUGUCGCGUCGUCCGUGAAAACCUGCAGCUCAACUGCAGGCUUGCGGUCGAUACGGGCAGGCUGGAGUUCGGUAGGGGAGACUGGAAUUCCUGGUGUAGCGGUGAAAUGCGCAGAUAUCAGGAGGAACACCAAUUGCGAAGGCAGCUCGCUGGGACGUUACUGACGCUGAGACGCGAAAGCGUGGGGAGCAAACAGG